UACGGAGGGUGCAAGCGUUAUCCGGAUUCACUGGGUUUAAAGGGUGCGUAGGUGGGUUGGUAAGUCAGUGGUGAAAUCUCCGAGCUUAACUUGGAAACUGCCAUUGAUACUAUUAGUCGUGAAUAUUGUGGAGGUCAGCGGAAUAUGUCAUGUAGCGGUGAAAUGCUUAGAGAUGACAUAGAACACCAAUUGCGAAGGCAGCUGGCUACACAUAUAUUGACACUGAGGCACGAAAGCGUGGGGAUCAAACAGG
rnacentral:rRNA from 1 species